GUCUUUGACCUCGGAUCAGGUAGGGAUACCCGCUGAACUUAAGCAUAUCAAUAG
rnacentral:rRNA from 2 species